CUGCAGGUUAUUGGGGCUGGAUCCCUCCUUAUCGAAGACAUCAGCCUGCUGAUGAGCUCCCACACGAAUUGCUUGAUUCAUUGUGUAAAGACGAUGCUGUAACGCGACCCUGUUAUAGGUCUGUAGCUCAGUUGGUUAGAGCGCACCCCUGAUAAGGGUGAGGUCGGCAGUUCAAAUCUGCCCAGACCUACCAAUUACUUGGUGCGGCCUAGGAUACGGGGCCAUAGCUCAGCUGGGAGAGCGCCUGCCUUGCACGCAGGAGGUCAGCGGUUCGAUCCCGCUUGGCUCCACCACUCUUUCAGGUUUCGCAGCACUGCUCAGAACUUAGAAAUGAACAUUCCGGUGUGAAUGUUGAUUUCUGACUUUUGUCAGAUCGUUCUUUAAAAAUUCGGAUAUGUGAUAGAUAGACUGAAUGCCAGUUUCACUGCUGGUUAUUCAGGCUAAGGUAAAAUUUGUGAGUUCUGCUCAGCAAUGAGCAACAUGCGAAUUUUCGGCGAAUGUCGUCUUCACAGUAUAACCAGAUUGCUUGGGUUUUAUAUAUGGUCAA
rnacentral:tRNA from 1 species